rnacentral:rRNA from 1 species
AUUGAACGCUGGCGGCAGGCCUAACACAUGCAAGUCGAACGAGUGGCGGACGGGUGAGUAAUGUCUGGGAAACUGCCUGAUGGAGGGGGAUAACUACUGGAAAGGGUAGCUAAUACCGCAUACCAUCAGAUGUGCCCAGAUGGGAUUCGCUAGUUGGUGGGGGAACGGCGCACCAAGGCCACGAUCCCUAGAUGGUCUGAGAGGAUGACCAGCCACACUGGAACUGAGACACGGUCCAGACUACUACGGGAGGCAGCAGUGGGGAAUAUUGCACAAUGGGCGCAAGCCGGAGGCAGCCAUGCCGCGGGUAUGAAGAAGGCCUUCGGGUUGUAAAGUACUUUCAGCGGGGAGGCGUUACCCGCAGAAGAAGCACCGGCUAACUCCGUGACAGCAGCCGCGGUAAUAC